AUUGGUCUGCUCGAGAAAUUGUCCAGUUAAGUUUACAAUUUAUUACACUUCACCUCUAAUUUCACUUCAAAACCUGAAAUCUACCAAACUCCACCACAAAAAUUAAUAAAUUUACUUUAGCGCUUGUAAAACAUAUCGAGACUAAAAGUGGAGCAUGCAUUUCAUCUUGUUGAGCACCUUACAUUUAAUUAUGAUUACAGCAUCCAGUAAUCUAAUCUUUCUAGGGAUAUUUUGGAAGUGGUGACCAUUUAUAUAAACAGUAUGGGGCUAUGUGGGCCAUCUCGGUCCUAGGGUGUUUGGAUACGAGGGAGGGCAAGUGACGGUUCGCCAGGCCACCGCGGGAUGCCAGCUCCCCCUUAGCACGACUUGCUGACACGUCCAGCAGCUCGUGUGGCGGCACUGCCUCGUCCAGCUCUUCUUUUACAGAGAAUUCAAAUGCGAUCGUCACUACGUGGGCGACUCUGGUAAACUGAAGCGGGGUCGCUCGUACCAUCAGGAACCAUGCGCCUCGUCGACCUAUAUGCGUAUCAACAAAGUCACAAGACGAGGCAAAGGUCUGUUGGCUUUGUCGCCCUCCAAGGUGCCGGUGUCGGACGUUUCCGUAUCCGAUAUCUCAGGGUCGAGCGUGCACAGGCUGGGCUUGCAGGGAGGCUGCUAAACAGGCAUGAAGGGGGUAUGCGAGCAUUUGAGCAGUGCGCAGAGUGUGAGCAUCAAGUAUAGCAGAGGGCUUGGUAUAGGAAAGCUAAUAUGCAUCCUUGGACAGUAUACAUUUACAAAAUGCUCUUGGGUUUUAAGAGUAGCAAAUUCUAAUUACUUUGUUUAUAUCUAUGCUAAAGGAAUGCUAAUACAGUAUUUAUCUUAAUGUGUAUAUGGAAUAUUUAUACAUAGUUUCCUGGUAUUUUCUACUUUGAUCAUAUAUUAAUAACUAAGCUUGCAUAUUCACAUAUACUACCCUAACAAUUUCUACUUCACAUCAUAUAGGCAUUAACCAAGCUGGCAAUUUUUACUUCCUGUAUAGUAUUAACUAAGCAAGCUAGUGUUCUAUCACUUGCGGUCAAUUUUUUUUUUGUUUUUUU